rnacentral:rRNA from 1 species
GAUGAACGCUGGCGGCGUGCCUAAUACAUGCAAGUCGAGCGAACGGACGAGAAGCUUGCUUCUCUGAUGUUAGCGGCGGACGGGUGAGUAACACGUGGAUCCCCUACCUAUCAGACUGGGAUAACUUCGGGAAACCGGCGCUAAUACCGUAUAAUAUUUUGAACCGCAUGGUUCAAAAGUAAAAGACGGUCUUGCUGUCACUUAUAGAUGCAUCCCGGCUGCAUUAGCUAGUUGGUAAGGUUACGGCUUACCAGGGCAACGAUGCGUAGCCGACCGCUUAGGGGGAUCGGCCACACGGGAACUGAGCCACGGUCCAGACUACUGCGGGAGGCAGCAGUAGGGAAUCUGCCGCAAUGGGCGAAAGCCUGACGGAGCAACGCCGCGUGAGUGAUGAAGGUCUUCGGAGCGUAAAACUCUGUUAUGAGGGAAGAACAGAUUUGGAAGUAACUGUGCACAUAGUGACGGUACCUAAUCAGAAAGCAACGGCUAACUACGUG